AGUAGGACUAGCAAAAUAAGGGGGGUAGCAACAGUGGCGAGUUCGUUGGAUGGCUGAAGCCCUGAGUACAGGGUAGUCGUCAGUGGUUCGACGCUUUGGAGGACAAGCCUCGAGAUGCCACGUGGACGAGGGCAUGCCCACAGCACAUCUUAACCUGGACAGGGGUCGUUCAGGUGAAAACGGUUUAACCAACCGCUACGAAUACAGUCUGAUAGGAUGCUGCAGAGGCCCACUGUAUUGCUACUGAAAAUCUCUGCUGUACAUGGCACAUGGAGUU
rnacentral:other from 15 species